rnacentral:rRNA from 1 species
CUCAGGCUUAACAGACUUGUCAAAGCCUGAUCUCAUUACAUCUCAGAAGCUAAGCAAGCCUCGGCUUGGGUAGUACUUGAAUGGAAGACUAUUGGAAAUAUCAGGUGGCACUGCGG